rnacentral:rRNA from 1 species
UACGUAGAGUGCAAGCGUUGUCCGGAAUUAUUGGGCGUAAAGGGACGACACGACGGGGAUAGGUAAGUCAGCGUGAAAGGUGUCGGCUUAACCGACAGACUGCGUUUGAAACUGAUUAUCUUGAGUGUAACAGAGGAGAGUGGAAUUCCUAGUGUAGUGGUGAAAUACGUAGAUAUUAGGAAGAACACCAGUGGCGAAGGCGACUCUCUGGGUUAACACUGACGCUGAGGUACGAAAGCUGGGGGAGCAAACGGGAUUAGAUACCCGCGUAGU